AUGAAAAGAGCUGCAAGGGGAGAGAAGAAGAAAUUGACUCUAAAAUUCGAGGUGAAACUGAGCGGUAAUGAGCCUGGGGCCCCUAUUCAGAUGAUACAUCAAAAGACUCAUCAACAGUGGCAGGUUUACAGAACUCUACUGAGGAAGCUGUGCUUGACUAGGAAGAGGAAGCAGAGAAGAACAAAGUCUGUGAUAAAAAACUGGAAAGGAGCCACAAAAGGCUACAAAAAAACAAGAAAGGCCAUUUUCGAACCAGAUCCUGGUGUGACUGAAAAGCCAGUGUCAUCUGAGGAUUGGCUAAGGACAGGCUGAGAACCUGGCUUCUGACUGCGUACACUGCUGCCCUCUUGUGGACGUGGGCCCAGCCGUGUCAGUGGCUGACGCAUUCUUUGUCACCUGAAGUCUGGACGAACAGGCUACUUAGGUAGGAGAGGCCGCAUUUCCCCACUCCCAGAAGACAGCCAUCUCCCUUCCCCUAACAGCCUUCAGCAAAGGAAGGCUUUCUCCUUUUUCCUGUGCAUUCUUAUUGAAGAGUCGGUUAAUUUGUGAAUUGGGGGAUUGGGUGUAAAAGAACCAUGAUUAAAAACAAGGCAGCACAUUUAGGAAAAAGUCAAAGACCACGAAUGAACACAGCUUCCCAUGGAUGUAUGUGACACAGAGAAGCUUGAUGCUUAGAACACUUGAUAUCAUAUGAUCAUUGUUAGCAAUGACACGAAGAAGGGUAGUGUACGCUAAUCAUCAGCCUACUUGAUAUUAUAAAAUAAUUAUUUUAAUUUUUAAUUA
rnacentral:lncRNA from 1 species